rnacentral:rRNA from 1 species
AGCGAACGCUGGCGGCGUGCCUAACACAUGCAAGUCGAGCGAGAAAGGGGGCUUCGGCUCCUGAGUACAGCGGCGAACGGGUGCGUAACACGUGGGUGAUCUGUCCUUGAGAUGGGGAUAACCCAGCGAAAGUUGGGCUAAUACCGGAUAAGACCACAGGAGGAAACUCCAGGGGUCAAAGGGUGCUUCCUUCGGGGAGCAGUUCUCUUGAGGAGGAGCCCGCGGCCUAUCAGCUUGUUGGUAGGUAACGGCCUACCAAGGCGAAGACGGGUAGCUGGUCUGAGAGGAUGACCAGCCACACGGGGACUGAGACACGGCCCCGACUCCUACGGNGGCAGCAGUGGGGAAUAUUGGGCAAUGGGGAAACCCUGACCCAGCGACGCCGCGUGGGUGAUGAAGGCCU